AAACAUGUCUUUUUGAAUUUAAUUUAAAGUCUAAUCUGCCCACUGAUUUAAAAUUAAAGGGCUGCAGUAAUUUGACUGUACAAAGGUAGCAUAAUCAUUAGUCUUUUAAUUGAAGACUUGUAUGAAAGAUUUGAUGAGAUAUAAACUGUCUCUUAUUUAUAAUUAAAAUUUAAUUUUUUAGUUAAAAAGCUAAAAUAAAUUUAAAAGACGAGAAGACCCUAUAGAGUUUUAUAAUUUAUAAAUUAAAAUAUUUAUAUAAAAUUUUAAUAUUAAAUUUUGUUAAUUAUUUUAUUGGGGUGAUAAAAAAAUUUAAAAAACUUUUUUUUAAAAAUUUUCAUAAAUAAAUGAAUAAAUGAUCUUGAAUAAUGAUUAAAAGAAAAAAUUACCUUAGGGAUAACAGCGUAAUAUUUUUUUUUAGUACAAAUAAAAAAAAAAGUUUGCGACCUCGAUGUUGGAUUAAGAUAAAAUUUAAAUGCAAAAGUUUAAAAUUUUGAUCUGUUC
rnacentral:rRNA from 1 species